UCCCUGGUGGCUCAGAUGGUAAAGCAUCUGCCUGCAAUGUGGGAGACCUGGGUUCGAUCCCUGGUUUGGGAA
rnacentral:tRNA from 1 species